CAGUCGAACGAAACUUCUUUAUCACCGAGUGCUUGCACUCACCGAUAAAGACUUUAGUGGCGAACGGGUGAGUAACACGUGGGCAACCUGCCCAAAAGAGGGGGAUAACACUUGGAAACAGGUGCUAAUACCGCAUAACCAUAGUUACCGCAUGGUAACUAUGUAAAAGGUGGCUAUGCUACCGCUUUUGGAUGGGCCCGCGGCGCAUUAGCUAGUUGGUGGGGUAAAGGCUUACCAAGGCAAUGAUGCGUAGCCGAACUGAGAGGUUGAUCGGCCACAUUGGGACUGAGACACGGCCCAAACUCCUACGGGAGGCAGCAGUAGGGAAUCUUCCACAAUGGGCGAAAGCCUGAUGGAGCAACGCCGCGUGGGUGAAGAAGGUCUUCGGAUCGUAAAACCCUGUUGUUAGAGAAGAAAGUGCGUGAGAGUAACUGUUCACGUUUCGACGGUAUCUAACCAGAAAGCCACGGCUAACUACGUGCCAGCAGCCGCGGUAAUACGUAGGUGGCAAGCGUUAUCCGGAUUUAUUGGGCGUAAAGGGAACGCAGGCGGUCUUUUAAGUCUGAUGUGAAAGCCUUCGGCUUAACCGGAGUAGUGCAUUGGAAACUGGGAGACUUGAGUGCAGAAGAGGAGAGUGGAACUCCAUGUGUAGCGGUGAAAUGCGUAGAUAUAUGGAAGAACACCAGUGGCGAAAGCGGCUCUCUGGUCUGUAACUGACGCUGAGGUUCGAAAGCGUGNGUAGCAAACAGGAUUAGAUACCCUGGNAGUCCACGCCGUAAACGAUGAAUGCUAAGUGUUGG
rnacentral:rRNA from 1 species